rnacentral:lncRNA from 1 species
GGAAAUGUGACUAAGGAAACCUCUGAGGAAAGUAUUUUUAAAGACGAUUUUCUGUUUCAUAUUCCCUAGCACACCUGCCCGACAGAAGUGUCCUGUUGCUGUCAGGAGUGAUUCUGAGCCAAACCAAAGGCUGUCCACACAGAAAAAGUGCCAAGAUCAUGACAAAAAACUCCCACCACCGCUCCAUGGAGAAAGCCAUGAUGAGAGAGGAGCACACCCCAGUCUGAGGAGCAUCUCCCUGUAGAGAUCUGUGGCCAUACUGUGAGAGCUUCGUUCAGUACUGCUGUGCUGCUUUUCAAGUAGUCAUAGCAAAGCUCAGAAGAGUCAUGACACCUCAAGAAGAGCCUGGAGUCAGGGUGAUGAUGGAUUUACACCUUCCCUUUCCUCCUUGUGGCUUCAGUGGAGGAU